AGAGUUUGAUCCUGGCUCAGGACGAACGCUGGCGGCGUGCUUAACACAUGCAAGUCAAGGAGAAAGUUUUCUUCGGAGAAUUAGUAAACUGGCGCACGGGUGAGGAAUAUGUAAGUAAUCUACCUAUAGGACUGGGAUAACUUCGAGAAAUCGGGGCUAAUACCGGAUAACACGAAAAUGCUGCAUGGUAAUUUCGUUAAAGUUAUUUAUAGCACCUAUUGAUGAGCUUGCAGCUGAUUAGCUAGUUGGUGAGAUAAAAGCUUACCAAGGCAACGAUCAGUAGCUGGUCUGAGAGGAUGAUCAGCCACACUGGAACUGAGACACGGUCCAGACUCCUACGGGAGGCAGCAGUGAGGAAUAUUGGGCAAUGCCCGAAAGGGUGACCCAGCAACGCCGCGUGGAGGAUGAAUGUCGUAAGGUUGUAAACUCCUUUUGAAGGGGACGAAAUAAUAGGUUGGUAGCCUAUAUUGACUGUACCCUUAGAAAAAGCCCCGGCUAACUACGUGCCAGCAGCCGCGGUAAUACGUAGGGGGCAAGCGUUGUCCGGAUUAACUGGGUGUAAAGGGCGCGUAGGCGGGUUUGUUAGUCAGAGGUGAAAUCCUACAGCUUAACUGUAGAACUGCCUUUGAUACUGCAAAUCUUGAGUUCGGAAGAGAGAGACGGAAUUCCAGGUGUAGUGGUGAAAUACGUAGAUAUCUGGAAGAACACCAGUGGCGAAGGCGGUCUCUUGGUCCGUAACUGACGCUGAGGCGCGAAAGCGUGGGGAGCAAACAGGAUUAGAUACCCUGGUAGUCCACGCUGUAAACGAUGAAUACUAGGUGUUGGUCCCAUAGGGAUCAGUGCCGGAGUUAACGCAUUAAGUAUUCCACCUGGGGAGUACGAUCGCAAGGUUGAAACUCAAAGGAAUUGACGGGGGCCCGCACAAGCAGUGGAGCAUGUGGUUUAAUUCGAUGCAACGCGAAGAACCUUACCUGGGCUUGAAACGCAGUGGACCGGUUGUGAAAGCAACCUUCUCUUCGGAGUCGCCGUACAGGUGCUGCAUGGCUGUCGUCAGCUCGUGCCGUGAGGUGUUGGGUUAAGUCUCGCAACGAGCGCAACCCCUACCAUUAGUUGCCAUCAGGUUAUGCUGGGCACUCUAAUGGGACUGCCUACGCAAGUAGUGAGGAAGGUGGGGAUGACGUCAAGUCAGCAUGGCCCUUACGCCCAGGGCUACACACGUGCUACAAUGGGAACUACAACGGGUAGCUAAGCCGCAAGGUGGAGCCAAUCCCUUAAAAGUUUCCUCAGUUCGGAUUGGAGUCUGCAACUCGACUUCAUGAAGCCGGAAUUGCUAGUAAUCGCGCAUCAGCUCGGCGCGGUGAAUACGUUCCCGGGCCUUGUACACACCGCCCGUCAAGCCAUGGAAGCCGGGGGUACCCAAAGUCGGUGACCCAACCCUUCGGGGAGGGAGCUGCCUAAGGUAAAACUGGUGACUGGGGCUAAGUCGUAACAAGGUA
rnacentral:rRNA from 1 species